UGGGAGAUCGUCUAACGGUAGGACAACGGACUCUGAAUCCGUUUAUCUUGGUUCGAAUCCAAGUCUCCCAGCCA
rnacentral:tRNA from 2 species